rnacentral:rRNA from 1 species
AUUGAACGCUGGCGGCAUGCCUUACACAUGCAAGUCGAACGGUAACAGGUCUUCGGAUGCUGACGAGUGGCGAACGGGUGAGUAAUACAUCGGAACGUGCCCGAGAGUGGGGGAUAACGAGGCGAAAGCUUUGCUAAUACCGCAUACGAUCUCAGGAUGAAAGCAGGGGACCGCAAGGCCUUGCGCUCACGGAGCGGCCGAUGGCAGAUUAGGUAGUUGGUGGGAUAAAAGCUUACCAAGCCGACGAUCUGUAGCUGGUCUGAGAGGACGACCAGCCACACUGGGACUGAGACACGGCCCAGACUCCUACGGGAGGCAGCAGUGGGGAAUUUUGGACAAUGGGCGCAAGCCUGAUCCAGCCAGGCCGCGUGCAGGAUGAAGGCCUUCGGGUUGUAAACUGCUUUUGUACGGAACGAAAAGACUCUGGUUAAUACCUGGGGUCCAUGACGGUACCGUAAGAAUAAGCACCGGCUAACUACGUGCCAGCAGCCGCCGCGGUAA